rnacentral:misc_RNA from 1 species
UACGGAAGGUGCGAGCGUUGUCCGGAAUUACUGGGCGUAAAGGGUCCGUAGGCGGUUCGGUAAGUCUCUUGUGAAAACCCCAGGCUCAACUUGGGGACGCCGAGGGAUACUGCCGGACUAGAGACUGUCAGAGGCGAACGGAAUUCCCGGUGUAGUGGUGAAAUGCGUAGAUAUCGGGAGGAACUCCAGUGGCGAAAGCGGUUCGCUGGGACAGUUCUGACGCUGAGGGACGAAAGCGUGGGGAGCAAACCGG